rnacentral:lncRNA from 1 species
UUUAUGUUCCAUUAUUUCAAAUAAUAAUAUAGUCUAAGGGCGUUAGAGAUCAGAUAUGAAAACUAACGUUUUAAACAGAUUUUCAAUAAUGUGUUGAUUAAAUUAAAAUUCUAGCAGUAAAGAUUAAAAUGUAGCAUUUUAGAAGGGACAAUUCACCUUAAUUUUUAAGGUGGCGUUGUCGUUUACCAGCAAUGAAAUUGCCUUCUUAUG